CCUACGGGAGGCAGCAGUAGGGAAUCUUCCACAAUGGGCGAAAGCCUGAUGGAGCAACGCCGCGUGAGUGAUGAAGGCCUUCGGGUUGUAAAACUCUGUCAUUCGGGACGAACCGGAGUCUGAGGAAAUGCAGACUCUCUGACGGUACCGGAGGAGGAAGCCCCGGCUAGCUACGUGCCAGCAGCCGCGGUAAUACGUAGGGGGCAAGCGUUGUCCGGAUUCACCGGGCGUAAAGCGCGCGCAGGCGGUGAUGUAAGUCUGAGGUGAAAACCCGAAGCUCAACUUCGGGACUGCCUUGGAUACUGCGUCACUUGAGGAUAGGAGAGGCAAGGGGAAUUCCACGUGUAGCGGUGAAAUGCGUAGAGAUGUGGAGGAACACCUGUGGCGAAGGCGCCUUGCUGGCCUAUUUCUGACGCUGAGGCGCGAAAGCGUGGGGAGCAAACAGGAUUAGAUACCCUGGUAGUCCACGCUGUAAACGAUGAGUGCUAGGUGUAGGUGGGCUCAUACCCAUCUGUGCCGAAGCUAACGCAUUAAGCACUCCGCCCUGGGGAGUACGGUCGCAAGACUGAAACUUAAAUGAAUUGACGG
rnacentral:rRNA from 1 species